rnacentral:snRNA from 1 species
CGUGCUUGGGCGAGAGUAGUACU